AAGUGCUCAGGAUAUUCUUCUGAAAAGGAAAACCACAGACGAUGAUAGCUCCGACGAAGAAGAGGAGGAUGAUUCCUUGGUAACAAGGCCAAGAGUUGGGAGACGUAUCGUCUUUAACGAAGCUAAAGUUUCUCAUCACCUUUCUCCUAUAGGGCCUGUUAAUCUUGUCUCUGUACAAAUUCUAAACCGUGGUGAUGUAUAUCUGACUUGAGAAGUUGAAAAAUGGAAAUCCUAUCGCUCUGUGCCUGAUGCUUAUGUAAUCAGCUUAGUUUAGAUUAAUUUCACUUUAAUAGCUAAAUGUUGUAACUGAACUGGACUGUAUGAAAUUUUUCGGACUUGCUGUAGUUAAUUUGAUUGGUUAUUUUCGUGUGC